rnacentral:rRNA from 1 species
UACGUAGGGUGCAAGCGUUGUCCGGAAUUAUUGGGUGUAAAGAGCUCGUAGGCGGUUUGUCGCGUCGGCUGUGAACUCCCGAGGCUCAACCUCGGGCCUGCAGUCGAUACGGGCAAACUAGAGUGUGGUAGGGGAGACUGGAAUUCCUGGUGUAGCGGUGAAAUGCGCAGAUAUCAGGAGGAACACCGGCGGCGAAGGCGGGUCCCUGGGCCAUAACUGACGCUGAGGAGCGAAAGCGUGGGGAGCGAACAGG